UACGGAGGGGGCGAGCGUUAUUCGGAAUUAUUGGGCGUAAAGGGCUCGUAGGCGGUUUGUCGCGUCGGGAGUGAAAACCUUGGGCUUAACUCAGGGCUUGCUUUCGAUACGGGCAGACUAGAGGUAUGCAGGGGAGAACGGAAUUCCUGGUGUAGCGGUGAAAUGCGCAGAUAUCAGGAGGAACACCGGUGGCGAAGGCGGUUCUCUGGGCAUGAUCUGACGCUGAGGAGCGAAAGUGUGGGGAGCGAAUGGG
rnacentral:rRNA from 1 species